rnacentral:tRNA from 1 species
GUCCGGAAGCGACGUAGGGCAGAGUGACUUAAAAUCCCCCGCUCGUAAGGGCGUGCCGGUUCGAUUCCGGCUUCGGGCACCA